GCUUAGGUGGUUCAGGGGAUAGAGCACUGGAUCUGUAAUCAAGAAGAUCUGAGUUCAGAUUCAGCCUCAGCC
rnacentral:tRNA from 1 species